rnacentral:rRNA from 1 species
UACAGAGGUCCCAAGCGUUGUUCGGAUUCACUGGGCGUAAAGGGUGCGUAGGUGGCCAAGUAAGUCUGAUGUGAAAUCUCGAAGCUUAACUUCGAAACUGCAUUGGAUACUACCUGGCUGGAGGGUUGGAGGGGGGACUGGAAUUCUCGGUGUAGCAGUGAAAUGCGUAGAUAUCUGGAGGAACACCGGUGGCGAAGGCGGCAUUCUGGACUACUUCUGACACUGAUGAACGAAAGCCAGGGGAGCAAACGGG